CCUACGGGGGGCAGCAGUGGGGAAUAUUGCACAAUGGGGGAAACCCUGAUGCAGCGACGCCGCGUGAGUGAGGAAGUAUUUCGGUAUGUAAAGCUCUAUCAGCAGGGAAGAAAAUGACGGUACCUGACUAAGAAGCCCCGGCUAACUACGUGCCAGCAGCCGCGGUAAUACGUAGGGGGCAAGCGUUAUCCGGAUUUACUGGGUGUAAAGGGAGCGUAGACGGAAUAGCAAGUCUGAUGUGAAAACCCGGGACUCAACUCCGGGAGUGCAUUGGAAACUGUUGAUCUAGAGUGUCGGAGAGGCAAGCGGAAUUCCUAGGGUAGCGGUGAAAUGCGUAGAUAUUAGGAGGAACACCAGAGGCGAAGGCGAAUUGCUGGAAGAUGACGGACGUUGAGGCUCGAAAGCGUGGGGAGCAAACAGGAUUAGAUACCCCGGUAGUC
rnacentral:rRNA from 1 species